rnacentral:rRNA from 1 species
AUUGAACGCUGGCGGCAUGCUUUACACAUGCAAGUCGAACGGCAGCGCGGGCUUCGGCCUGGCGGCGAGUGGCGAACGGGUGAGUAAUGCAUCGGAACGUGCCCAGUAGUGGGGGAUAGCCCGGCGAAAGCCGGAUUAAUACCGCAUACGACCUGAGGGUGAAAGCGGGGGACCGAAAGGCCUCGCGCUAUUGGAGCGGACGAUGUCGGAUUAGCUAGUUGGUGGGGGAAAGGCUUACCAAGGCGACGAUCCGUAGCUGGUCUGAGAGGACGACCAGCCACACUGGGACUGAGACACGGCCCAGACUCCUACGGGAGGCAGCAGUGGGGAAUUUUGGACAAUGGGGGCAACCCUGAUCCAGCCGUGCCGCGUGCGGGAAGAAGGCCUUCGGGUUGUAAACCGCUUUUGUUCGGGAAGAAAUCCUCUGGGCUAAUACCCCGGGGGGAUGACGGUACCGGAAGAAUAAGCACCGGCUAACUACGUG